rnacentral:rRNA from 1 species
AGUGAACGCUGGCGGUAGGCCUAACACAUGCAAGUCGAACGGCAGCACAGUAAUAGCUUGCUCUUACGGGUGGCGAGUGGCGGACGGGUGAGGAAUACAUCGGAAUCUACUUUUUCGUGGGGGUUAACGAAGGGAAACUUACGCUAAUACCGCAUACGACCUACGGGUGAAAGCAGGGGAUCUUCGGAUCUUGCGCGAUUGAAUGGGCUGUUGUCGGAUUAGCGAGUUGGCGGGGUACAGGCCCACCAAGGGGACGAUCGGUAGCUGGUCUGGGGGGCUGAUCAGCGACACUGGGACUGGGAGACGGUACUGACUCCGACGGGAGGCAGCAGCGGGGAAGAGUGGACAAUGGGGGCAAGCCUGAUCCAUCCAUACCGGGUUGGUGAAGAAGGCCUUCGGGUGGUAUAACCCUUUUGUUGGGAAAGAAACGCAGCAGGUUAAUACCCCGCUGUUCUGACGGUACCCAAAGAAUAAGCACCGGCUAACUUCGUG